rnacentral:rRNA from 1 species
AUGGCGCAGCUGAUAUCAUCGCGUGCAGGACGAAGCCUCGGUUGUAAACUGCUUUUGUACGGAACGAAAAGCCUAGGCUAAUACCCCUGGGUCAUGACGGUACCGUAAGAAUAAGCACCGGCUAACUACGUGCCAGCAGCCGCGGUAAUACGUAGGGUGCAAGCGUUAAUCGGAAUUACUGGGCGUAAAGCGUGCGCAGGCGGUCUUGUAAGACAGAGGUGAAAUCCCCGGGCUUAACCUGGGAACUGCCUUUGUGACUGCAAGGCUGGAGUGCGGCAGAGGGGGAUGGAAUUCCGCGUGUAGCAGUGAAAUGCGUAGAUAUGCGGAGGAACACCGAUGGCGAAGGCAAUCCCCUGGGCCUGCACUGACGCUCAUGCACGAAAGCGUGGGGAGCAAACAGGAUUAGAUACCCUGGUAGUCCACGCCCUAAACGAUGUCAACUGGUUGUUGGGUCUUCACUGACUCAGUAACGAAGCUAACGCGUGAAGUUGACCGNCUGGGGAAGUAUGGCCGCAAA